AUAAUUAUAAUAAAUAAUGUUAUUUUAUAACUAUGACGAUAAAUGGUGCGAGUAAUAGGCGAAUUGGACCCGGGGGCGGUACCCGGCGCCUCCACCAAUAAGCACGAGGGGGCGAAAUAGGAUCGACAAGCGUUUAAAGUCGUAUUCUUUCGUUCGGUAUAGUACCACCGUAAAGGACUAAAUUAUAACUGCCAACGACAAUAGUCGUGGGGUUGCUUUAGCAGCUUAAGUUGCUAAAAAUACCAAGCAGAAUUAAGUCCUAAAUUGAUCACGCUUUUUAGGCGGGGUUUGAAGGCACCUGGCAACAGAAGCCUUCAUUA
rnacentral:tmRNA from 1 species